rnacentral:tRNA from 1 species
GACAAAGUAGUAAAGUUUACAUCUCCCUUACACGGAGGAAAUCCCCUUUUAGGGCUUUGUUU